AAGGAUACCCACAGACGGCGGGAGCAUACACGAAGAUAGUAGCGUAGCAGCAGCUCCAGAAGUCCGUACGAAGACUGCACAAUAGCAACGAACUUGCCACAAACAAGCCGGCGAGUGACGCUCGAUCUGGCAGGGCGAGAGCCAACCAGUAACACUGCGACAGGAGCCAAUGUUUGAGUCAGUGGGGCCACUUGCUGGAGGGUGCGCCUUCCCAACGUUCCACUUCCCUAGUGGGAACUCAACGCUCCCAGUGCCACUGUAGCGAACCUUUUUUUCCCCAGGAUUACUAACUAAACAAUUAAAACCCAGUUAGUAAUCGUUAAAACAAAGCACUAAUACGGAGUUGUCAUUGAUUAUCCGGCGGGUAAAGAGGAAGUUUCUGUUCCAUGCUGGAGCAGAGGAAUUCCGGGUACACAUUUCAAAAACCGACCGGAUCACCAUAUCUAAACACCCCCCGAAGUAGGAGGGGCAUGUGAGGAGUCGUUUGACCCCUCACAAAUAGCGCCAACAACAACCCCAGUUAGCGCCAACAACAUCGGCAGCCAGCGCCAACAACAACGCCAGUUAGCACCAACAACAUCGCCAGCCGCAACGCCCAAAGGCGUCGCCUACAACAACAGCCGCCAGCGGCAAUAGCAACAGCAGCCAGCGGCAACAACAACAGCAGCUAACAACAAAAACAAAACCCUCGCGAAUAACUUUGUAAAAACUUUGUACAGUUCUCUUAAUAUGUAAGCUUAGCCAAUAAUUGUAAGAUUUGUAGUUAUAUUGGUACACAAUAAAUAUCUUAGCUAAGCUUUCCCCCUCCGUUCUAGCAUCAUGCAGUAGCCACAAAAACGCACACACACCAGAAGACGGCGCACGGGAUCAGAAGCGGGACUUUUGCAAAGGCGGCGAACGGGAUCAGAAAUGCGAGCAGAGCUAAUUCAUGUGGACAACAGGAGUCUUUUGCGCUCGGAGUGCGAAAAGUGGUGCAGUCGAGUGACUUGUGCCAAGUGACCCAGGAAGCAAAGGAAGGAGUGGGACGACCUAGACGACCUCGAGGAGAGUGUGCCUGCCCAGGACCAGCGGCGGAGCACCCGGAUUCACGAGUGUGUGUGUGCAUGAGAGCGAGACAGAUCACGUGGCCAGCAAAUCACGUGAGGAAGAAACACAUGCAGGCAGAUAAUCGGAGAAGAAGAGAGACGAGAGCCAACUCAGCGCAGCCAUUUUGUUUUUCGUUUCACUCUCAUCGUCGUCUCUCUCACACGAGCAGGAGUCGAUCAAGUACAGGCAACAUGAUCACAUCAGUUUGGGGGCUUCUCAUAUAACCGUCGCCGAGUGCGUCGGCAGCUCUCUAAAGCAUCGUCGUGAAAAAUUUAAAACUACCUCGUUGUCGAACAAAAUUUAAUCACCGUUGAGAAAAUUUAGGAAUUAAAUCGUCGCUUGACAUCGGAUUGUGGUCACCAUCGUUGCACGUGGGAAUUCAGUAAAUUCUUGGUUACAAAUAAAAUAAAAUUGUUCGAUGAAGAUUUUAAUCAGUUCGAACCUCAUUUGACCCUCGUCCAAGAAUUUCUCUCGUCCUAUCGAAAUUUUCCCUGUCGUUUGCGAGUUAACUAUUAUUUCACAGCAAUAUGGGCGCGCGUUGGAUAUCGUAUCUCCGGAAGCGUGAAUUGGAGGCGAUUCUGAAGGAGUUUUCCUUGGAAGCAACCGGAACAGUUAAGGAAAUGAGAAGCCGGCUGGCUGCUUUUAAUAAUCGGGACGAUCACGUGCUGGAGAUAGCCGAGCGACUACAGGAAUGCGAGGCGGAAAUUACAGCCGCACUAACGGAUAGGAAGCAGUGUUCACCGACUCCGAACCCACACCCACCGGGUCCAACACAGCCGGUCAGCUACAUGUCGCAAUGCCAGAGUACUCUUUGUUGGGAUUGUGGUCGCAGAGGAGUACGCACUCUCGAGUGUUUCCGUCGAACCCAGCCGGGAAACGAGAGGAGUUUUCGCCCCCUCGGGGAGCGGACG